GCGGGUGUGCCGGAACGGUUAACGGGCCAGACUUAUAAUCUGGAGCUCUGGGCAAACCAGUAGUGGGUUCAACUCCUACCACCCGUA
rnacentral:tRNA from 1 species